rnacentral:lncRNA from 1 species
GCCGGAAGCCAGAGUUAUAUUUAAAUUAGGAUUUCUAGGUGGUUAUUCUAAUCCAGGGAAGAACAAACGCCUCACUUUUCAGAUUACGGUCUCCUCAUUCCUCCCACUCACUUUUCUCCCACCGAUACUGAUAAUUCAUCAUCUCAUUUCCUACCGUUUCCAAAUUCAUGAACACAGAUCUUUCUAGACCCGAUUCAUGAACAUAGAUCAUGCUCGACCCGAUUCACGAACAGAGAUCUUUCUCAACCCGUUUAGUUCAUUCUCAUCGGUCAGGUAUUAUCUUUCUAUGCUGAAAUUAUGUGGCACCUCUUAUCUUCAAUCUUUUAUUCUUUGUGAGUGUAUCGUGUGGAUGGGAUGGACUGGAGAGAUAGAUAAUAGUUGAAAAGAAGACCAUGGGGAUGAGUUGGUUUUAGUCUCCAAAUUGAGGUUUAGGAGGUGGGUCAUUUUCUUGGAAUUCCAAUUUUUUGAGGUUUGGGAGGUGGUUUUUUUUGGGUUUCAAUCUGGACAUCUUACAUGCUUUGCCAUGGAAAUAGUACAUGCUUUGUUGUAUAUAGGAAUGAAUGAUGUGAACCCACCUGGAUUACUAGUCUGAUAGUCUCCGUUUGCAUAGACUUUUCUUAAUUCAAUUUUAGAUGCACACAGUUCUUUUUCCUGGAGCUUGCUUUCAGGUACUUGGAUAUUUCACACUUUCUCUAUGUUGGUCUUUUCCCUUUCAUGUAUUUUUCAGUUUGUUAGUUAUAGGAAGUGAUCAAGCACAUUCUUUGUCAUGGCUAUUUGGGAGGUUAACAGUGUCUCACUGUCUCUAUUCUCUAAAUUAGUUAAAGAUGCUUUUUGUUCAGAGCUUUUUAUUGUGUCUUUAAUUAGACAAAGAUAGUUUCUUUAUAGCAGUAGUGAACAAGGGUUUAAAGUAGAUGAUUUUCUUUUGAGUUUAUUGUUUUGUGCGUGUGUUGCAGUGUUAGAUAUUAGUAGAUAAGCUAAAGGUGAUGACGGAUCAGCCAAAAGCCAAGAGGUACAAAAAUCUCUGCUCACGGUUUACAACUAAUAAUACUCCAUCAAGUGAUAGUGACGAUGAGAUUGAGAUAGGGAGUGGGAGUAGAAAUGUGACUGUGGAUUGGCAUUGUUGACAGUUUUGGUACUCUAUGUGCGUGCAUACAAGGAAUGAAAGCAUUUCGAAGAGAUUGCCGAAGCUACAGAAUUCAAGAGAAUCACUUUAUAUUGUAUCAAUCUAUUAGCUCCGAUCGAUUAGUACUUUAUUAUGAUACAUUGUGGUGUAAUUUUGACACAAGUAAUUUUUCAUUGUGUUAAAUUUAGUUGUUACAAUUAUAAUCAAUCAAAACCUUCAUUUGACAUCUCUUUUUCAUUGUCUUCCAUUUUGUUUCAGUAGAAUGUACCUUGAG